GCCUACGGGGGGCAGCAGUGAGGAAUAUUGGUCAAUGGGCGAGAGCCUGAACCAGCCAAGUCGCGUGAAGGAUGACGGCCCUACGGGUUGUAAACUUCUUUUGUCAGGGAGCAAUUGGGUCCACGCGUGGGCUUAGCGAGAGUACCUGAAGAAAAAGCAUCGGCUAACUCCGUGCCAGCAGCCGCGGUAAUACGGAGGAUGCGAGCGUUAUCCGGAUUUAUUGGGUUUAAAGGGUGCGUAGGCGGAAUAUCAAGUCAGCGGUAAAAAUUCGGGGCUCAACCCCGCCGUGCCGUUGAAACUGAUGU
rnacentral:rRNA from 1 species